rnacentral:rRNA from 1 species
GAGGAAUAUUGGUCAAUGGCCGAAAGGCUGAACCAGCCAUCCCGCGUGCAGGAUGACGGCCCUAUGGGUUGUAAACUGCUUUUGUACCUGAAGAAACCUGGUUACGAGUAACCAGUUGCCGGUAAGGUAUGAAUAAGCAUCGGCUAACUCCGUGCCAGCAGCCGCGGUAAUACGGAGGAUGCAAGCGUUAUCCGGAUUCAUUGGGUUUAAAGGGUGCGCAGGUGGGAAAAUAAGUCAGUGGUGAAAUACUGCCGCUUAACGGUAGAAUUGCCAUUGAUACUGUUCUUCUUGAGUAUGGUUGAGGUAGGUGGAAUGUGUUGUGUAGCGGUGAAAUGCAUAGAUAUGACACAGAACGCCGAUUGCGAAGGCAGCUUACUAAGCCAUUACUGACGCUGAGGCACGAAAGCGUGGGGAUCAAAC